UACGUAGGGUGCAAGCGUUGUCCGGAAUCAUUGGGCGUAAAGCGCAUGUAGGCGGCUUGCUAAGUCCGCUCUGAAAGCCCGGGGCUCAACCCCGGGAGGCGGGUGGAUGACUGGCCAAGCUCGAGUCCGGAAGAGGCGAGUGGAAUUCCUGGUGUAGCGGUGAAAUGCGCAGAUAUCAGGAGGAACACCAAUGGCGAAGGCAGCUCGCUGGGACGUGACUGACGCUGGAGACGCGAAAGCGUGGGGAGCAAACGGG
rnacentral:rRNA from 1 species